CAGGGUUGGGUAGAGGGUGGACGGGGGAGUCGAGAACAUUUAGACUCCUGUGUUCUGUGUUCAUCAUCAAUUACACAAGAGAUCUCUCGAUGCUGCAGACCAUUCCCACACGAUGACGAACACUACAGACAAUAACACAGUCAAAGAGUGCAUUUUGUAUCCUGCAACUAUAUAUAUUAAAACAUACGCAGUCUUGCGGUGGAAAGAGCAUAUGACUUGCUGUCUUCCACUUGGGGCACCUCCCACCUCUGCACCUCUUUUGUUUUUGUGGGAGGGGCAGGUGCAUGCAGUUCUCCUCUGUGAUUGGCUGGCCGGACUGACUGGCGCACGUCACAUUACGAUACCUGAAUCCUUUCCCACAGGAAGCAGAGCACUGCAAGAAGAGGAGAAACAAAGUUUAACACUUGUUAAUCAUAACCCACAACUAACACUAGCAAAUGUGGGCUUUUAUGUUUGUGUGCUAGUGUCAGAUAAUAUUUUGGGCAAUUUAUGGAAAAUUCAGUGUAAAUUUUUUUUAUAUUUAUUACAGUUUAAAUCAAAAUUUAAUUAAUGAUCUAGGUCAGAAGUUCUGGACUUUUAUAAUGCAAUGUUUAAAAAACAAAACAAAACAAUGAAUGCUAAAUAGUAGCAGGUAACUAUUUAUACUAUUUAAGUAUUAUAUAGAUUUAUCCUGUCAUAAAUUGUAUUUAUUGUAUACGUAAAAAAGAAAAUAUUGAAUCAUAAAGAAUGGCUAUCACAAAAUAAUUGUCAAGCUUUUCCGGAUCUGGGUUUAUGGAGCACACAAGGAUUUAAACCUUUGACUAUAAUGCUCAGCACUUCAGGGGAGCUGAAGGGAGGGGAGCGGUUUGGGCCCCAGGAUGGGAGAGGAACGAAUAAUCAAAGGGCCUGAUCGAGAGAGGAUGAAUGUGAGGCGACAAGUCUGAGGUUAAACGAGUGCAUUACCCAGCAUGCUUACAUAGAAUACAGGAACUACGAGAGCACAGCUCCCUAACUGGAUAAUGCGCUCCUGUGAAUAACUUUUGAAAGUGUGUCAUGGGUGUAUUUAAGUUUGAAAGCAGAACAAAAACCACUGAACAAUCAUUUAAGUUUGAACUUUUAAAUCAAUAUAUAUUUGUUAUAAAUAAUUACAGCACCAAUAUAUACAAUUGGUUCAAAUGAAUACAAAUUGUACAAAAUUAAAAAAGUAUAAACAAAUAUACAUUCCUUUUCAAAACAAAACCACCAUUUAACACUGUUUUAAUGAUCCACUUUGUGAGAAUAUAAGUGUAAGCCUAAAUAAGUUUCAGUCUUGUAAGAUUUUUAUCAGCCAAGAUUUACAGAUGCAUUGCAUAUGAACUGUGCAGAUUGCAGAUGUGUACUUGUUUAUGUGCUGGUGAGUGGACAGGCUGUCUGUUUAGUUUACUGUCAGCAAGAUACUGCUGGGGGUUCGAUUUUACACAAGACCCUCUCAUAUACAGCAUCAUUUAAAUUGCAUUAAGUCGCUCUUAUCAAAAUAUUGGCACUUUCUAAAUCAAUUAUGCAGAAACAAAGUUGUGAACCACCAAUAACAUAUGAGCUUUUUAGUUUGUGCAUUAGUUGAGGGAAAUGUUAAGUAUGUUAAAACAAAAUGUACAGAAAAUUCAACAAUUGUAUA